AGAGUUCGAGUCUGGCUCAGGAUGAACGCUGGCGGCGUGCCUAACACAUGCAAGUCGAGCGAUCUCUCGGAGAAGAGCGGCGGACGGGUGAGUAACGCGUGGGUAACCUGCCUCAUACACAUGGAUAACAUACCGAAAGGUAUGCUAAUACAGGAUAAUAUAAGAGAUUCACAUGGAUUUCUUAUCAAAGCUCCGGCGGUAUGAGAUGGACCCGCGUCUGAUUAGCUAGUUGGUAAGGUAACGGCUUACCAAAGGCGACGAUCAGUAGCCGACCUGAGAGGGUGAUCGGCCACAUUGGAACUGAGACACGGUCCAAACUCCUACGGGAGGCAGCAGUGGGGAAUAUUGCACAAUGGGCGAAAGCCUGAUGCCAGCAACGCCGCGUGAGUGAUGAAGGCCUUCGGGUCGUAAAACUCUGUCCUCAAGGAAGAUAAUGACGGUACUUGAGGAGGAAGCCCCGGCUAACUACGUGCCAGCAGCCGC
rnacentral:rRNA from 1 species